AAAUGAAAUAACUUUUGCAUUCAGGAACUGAAGGUAACGAGAGCACUGCUCAUAUGAUCUUGGAGUGGCUUAUAAUUACACAGAGGGUAAAAGGUUAAAGUGCAGAGUAUCCUGACAGAAGACUGAUUGCUAGGUGUACUCACCGUAUAUCACAUAAACAAUACAUACUGUAGUAUAACAAGUUGUAGAGGGCAAAUUGAAACAAAG